UACGUAGGGUGCAAGCGUUGUCCGGAAUUAUUGGGCGUAAAGAGCUCGUAGGCGGUUUGUCGCGUCUGGUGUGAAAACUCGAGGCUCAACCUCGAGACGCCGGUGGAAACCAUCAGACUAGAGUCCGGAAGAGGAGAGUGGAAUUCCUGGUGUAGCGGUGAAAUGCGCAGAUAUCAGGAAGAACACCCGUGGCUAAGGCGGCUCUCUAGUACGGUACUGACGCUGAGACGCGAAAGCGUGGGGAGCGAACAGG
rnacentral:rRNA from 1 species